rnacentral:rRNA from 1 species
AUUGAACGCUGGCGGCAGGCCUAACACAUGCAAGUCGAGCGGAUGAAGGGAGCUUGCUCCUGGAUUCAGCGGCGGACGGGUGAGUAAUGCCUAGGAAUCUGCCUGGUCGUGGGGGAUAACGUCCGGAAACGGGCGGUAAUACCGCAUACGUCCUGAGGGAGAAGGAGGGGGAUCUUCGGACCUCACGCUAUCAGAUGAGCCUAGGUGGGAUUAGCUAGUUGGUGGGGUAAAGGCUUAUCAGGGCGGCGAUCCGUAACUGGUCUGAGAGGAUGAUCAGUGACACUGGGACUGAGACGCGGUCCAGACACCUACGGGAGGCAGCAGUGGGGAAGAGUGGACGAUGGGCGAAAGCCUGAUCCAUCCAUGCCGCGUGUGUGAAGAAGGGCUGCGGAUUGUAAAGCACUUUAAGUUGGGAGGAAGGGCAGUAAGUUAAUACCUUGCUGUUGUGACGUUACCAACAGAAUAAGCACCGGCUAACUACGUG